GACGAACCGUGCAAACGUUAUUCGGAAUCACUGGGCUUAAAGGGCGCGUAGGCGGGCCGCCAGGUCCGGGGUGAAAGCCUCCAGCUCAACUGGAGAAGUGCCUUGGAUACCGGCGGCCUCGAGGGAGGCAGGGGCGUGCGGAACUUCGGGUGGAGCGGUGAAAUUCGUAGAUAUUAGGAAGAACACCGGUGGCGAAGGCGGCCCACUGGUCCGGUACUGACGCUGAGGUGCGAAAGCGUGGGGAGCAAACAGG
rnacentral:rRNA from 1 species